AGCGGCGGACGGGUGAGUAACGCGUGGGUAACCUGCCUUAUACUGGGGGAUAACAUUCUGAAAAGGAUGCUAAUACCGCAUAAGCGCACAGUGUCGCAUGACACAGUGUGAAAAACUCCGGUGGUAUAAGAUGGACCCGCGUCUGAUUAGCUAGUUGGUGAGAUAAUAGCUCACCAAGGCAACGAUCAGUAGCCGACCUGAGAGGGUGAUCGGCCACAUUGGGACUGAGACACGGCCCAAACUCCUACGGGAGGCAGCAGUGGGGAAUAUUGCACAAUGGGGGAAACCCUGAUGCAGCGACGCCGCGUGAAGGAUGAAGGUUUUCGGAUCGUAAACUUCUAUCAGCAGGGAAGAAAAUGACUGUACCUGACUAAGAAGCCCCGGCUAACUACGUGCCAGCAGCCGCGGUAAUACGUAGGGGGCAAGCGUUAUCCGGAAUUACUGGGUGUAAAGGGUGCGUAGGCGGUUUGCUAAGUUAGGUGUGAAAGCCCGGGGCUCAACCUCGGGACUGCACUUAAAACUGGCAAACUAGAAUACAGGAGAGGUAAGUGGAAUUCCUAGUGUAGCGGUGAAAUGCGUAGAUAUUAGGAGGAACACCAGUGGCGAAGGCGACUUACUGGACUGUGAUUGACGCUGAGGCACGAAAGCGUGGG
rnacentral:rRNA from 1 species